rnacentral:rRNA from 1 species
GAGUUUGAUCAUGGCUCAGGACGAACGCUGGCGGCGUGCCUAACACAUGCAAGUGGAGCGACGAACCGGGGCUUGCCCCGGGGCAGAGCCGCGAACGGGUGAGUAACACGUGGGUUACCUGCCCCGAUGACUGGGACAACCCGUCGAAAGACGGGCUAAUACCGGAUGUGCCCCUUGGGGGAAAGGAAGCUUCGGCCUCCGCAUCGGGAUGGGCCCGCGGCGCAUUAGCUUGUUGGUGGGGUAAUGGCUUACCAAGGCGACGAUGCGUAGCUGGUCUGAGAGGACGAUCAGCCACACUGGGACUGAGACACGGCCCAGACUCCUACGGGAGGCAGCAGUGGGGAAUCUUGCACAAUGCGCGAAAGCGUGAUGCAGCAACGCCGCGUGCGGGAAGAAGGCCUUAGGGUUGUAAACCGCUUUCAGUUGGGACGAGGCUUCGGUCGUUAAUAGCGGUUUGGAGUGACGGUACCUUCAGAAGAAGCGCCGGCUAACUACGUGCCAGCAGCCGCGGUAAUACG